UGGGGAAUAUUGCACAAUGGGGGAAACCCUGAUGCAGCGACGCCGCGUGAGCGAAGAAGGCUUUCGAGUCGUAAAGCUCUGUCCUAUGAGAAGAUAAUGACGGUAUCAUAGGAGGAAGCCCUGGCUAAAUACGUGCCAGCAGCCGCGGUAAUACGUAUGGGGCGAGCGUUGUCCGGAAUUAUUGGGCGUAAAGGGUACGUAGGUGGUUUUUUAAGUCAGGUGUCAAAGCGUGGAGCUUAACUCCAUUAAGCACUUGAAACUGAAAGACUUGAGUGAAGGAGAGGAAAGUGGAAUUCCUAUUGUAGCGGUGAAAUGCGUAGAUAUUAGGAGGAAUACCGGUGGCGAAGGCGACUUUCUGGACUUUUACUGACGCUCAGGUACGAAAGCGUGGGGAGCAAACAGG
rnacentral:rRNA from 1 species